GAUUCUGGCUCAGGAUGAACGCUAGCUACAGGCUUAACACAUGCAAGUCGAGGGGCAGCAUGGGAUUAGCUUGCUAAUCCUGAUGGCGACCGGCGCACGGGUGCGUAACGCGUAUCCAACCUGCCCUCUACUCCGGAACAGCCCGUCGAAAGGCGGAUUAAUGCCGGAUGGUGUCACAUGCCCGCAUGAGUGUGUGACUAAAGGCAACGGUAGAGGAUGGGGAUGCG
rnacentral:rRNA from 1 species